rnacentral:rRNA from 1 species
AUGGCUGGUCCGGCGAAGGCGUCAUGGAUGGCUGCGACGAGCGUCGGCGCGGUGGAGGCGCUCAAGGACCAGGCCGGGCUCUGCCGCUGGAACUAUGCCCUCAGGUCCAUCCACCGUGCAGCCAAGGCCAACGUCCGCGGCGGCGUCUCGCAGGGCACGAAGCAGCUUCCGGCAGCUGUGGCGGAGAGGCGGCGAGCGGAGAAGGCCGAGGAGGGGCUGAGGACGGUGAUGUACCUCAGCUGCUGGGGCCCAAAUUAG